rnacentral:rRNA from 1 species
CACACUGUAAACGAUGAUUACUAGGUGUGGGGAGAUUGACCCUCUCCGUGCCGCAGUUAACACAAUAAGUAAUCCACCUGAGUAGUACGGCCGCAAGGUUGAAACUCAAAGGAAUUGACG